rnacentral:rRNA from 1 species
AUCCUGGCUCAGGGAUGAACGCUAGCGGCAGGCUUAACACAUGGCAAGUCGAGGGGCAGCGGGUGUAGCAAUACAUGCCGGCGACCGGCGAAAGGGUGAGUAACGCGUGAGCAACGUGCCCGCAUCAGGGGGAUAGUCGAUGGAAACGUCGCGUAAUACCCCGUAACAACAGUGUUCGCAUGGAUAUUGUUUGAAAGAUUUAUCGGAUGCGGAUCGGCUCGCGUACCAUUAGGUAGACGGCGGGGUAACGGCCCACCGUGCCGACGAUGGUUAGGGGUUCUGAGAGGAAGGUCCCCCACAUUGGAACUGAGACACGGUCCAGACUCCUACGGAGGCAGCAGUGAGGAAUAUUGGACAAUGGCCGGGAGGCUGAUCCAGCCAUGCCGCGUGCGGGAAGACGGCCCUAUGGGUUGUAAACCGCUUUUGUCGGGGAGCAAUAAGUGUCACGUGUGACACGAUGAGAGUACCUGGCGAAUAAGCAUCGGCUAACUCCGUGCC